rnacentral:tRNA from 1 species
GGGGGUGUGGUGUAAUGGAUAGCAUCGGGGGCUUCGGAUCCCUGGAUCUCGGUUCGACUCCGGGCACCCUCA